CACGUAGGGCGCAAGCGUUGUCCGGAAUUAUUGGGCGUAAAGGGCGCGUAGGCGGACUUGUUUGUCAGGCGUGAAAGCCCUGGGCUCAACCUGGGAGGUGCGUUUGGGACGGCAAGGCUAGAGUUCGGGAGAGGAGAGUGGAAUUCCCAGUGUAGAGGUGAAAUUCGUAGAUAUUGGGAAGAACACCAGUGGCGAAGGCGGCUCUCUGGACCGAGACUGACGCUGAGGUGCGAAAGCGUGGGGAGCAAACAGG
rnacentral:rRNA from 1 species